AGUGAACGCUGGCGGUAGGCCUAACACAUGCAAGUCGAACGGCAGCACAGUAAGAGCUUGCUCUUACGGGUGGCGAGUGGCGGACGGGUGAGGAAUACAUCGGAAUCUACUUUUUCGUGGGGGUUAACGUAGGGAAACUUACGCUAAUACCGCAUACGACCUACGGGUGAAAGCAGGGGAUCUUCGGACCUUGCGCGAUUGAAUGAGCCGAUGUCGGAUUAGCUAGUUGGGGGGGUAAAGGCCCACCAAGGCGACGAUCCGUAGCUGGUCUGAGAGGAUGAUCGGCCACACUGGAACUGAGACACGGUCCAGACUCCUACGGGAGGCAGCAGUGGGGAAUAUUGGACAAUGGGCGCAAGCCUGAUCCAGCCAUACCGCGUGGGUGAAGAAGGCCUUCGGGUUGUAAAGCCCUUUUGUUGGGAAAGAAAAGCAGCAGGUUAAUACCCCGCUGUUCUGACGGUACCCAAAGAAUAAGCACCGGCUAACUUCGUG
rnacentral:rRNA from 1 species